rnacentral:lncRNA from 1 species
CUGGGAACUGAGCUCUGGUCCUCGGAACAGUAGCAAGUGCUCUGAACUGUGGAAAGUUUAUUGGAGGAAGACUGCGGUCCUUCGUUUCCUUGUUGGAACCCAUGAGUUGUUGAGAUCAUCAGGGAACAAUACUUUCAUCCACUGAGACAGCUGCCAGAUGUUGAUGGCAAAGAGCAAACAAGAGAACAAGGAUACAAAAGAUAUGAUAGCUUUCCAAUCUUAUGGGGCAAGAAGCCAAUUAACUCUGAGAAAUUCCUAAGGGAGUCAUCAUAUCAUAUAAAACUAGUUCUGCUGGAUCCAUGAAAAUGAAAAACCAAGGCCCCAAAGGCCAUCAUUGCACUCAGGCCAUACUAUGCUUGUGACAUACUGAGUAGUAUGCACAUUGCACACACUUCAGAGUUUGGAAGGAGACAUCACCAUGAUGUGUGGCAAGCCUGGUGUGCCAUGAAAAAUAAAAGACCCAGAGAUAGAUUUUGGGGUUCUAACUUCAAGCUGAAGAUCAGAGAUUCAAAGCCACCAAGCCAGUAGAUCUUACCUCUAUCCAGCAGAAAUGGCAAUCCUGUGUCCACAAAUCCUCAGAGGCAAAAGGCUCUCAGAUCCUGAGACCGAGGAAUUACAUGGAGACCCAAAUUUAGCAUUGCAUUUUCAGGUUAAAAAAGGAACAGUCUAGGUCUCAAGACAACCACCUUAAAUAUAUCCAGAAACCUUACAGGAAGCACCAAAUGAAAGAAGUUCUAUAAGAGCUACUUGGUGUUAGAUUUAGGGAAAUUCAAGGAAGCUGUAGUCUCAUAUGGCAUCCUUUUAC